rnacentral:rRNA from 1 species
AGCCACAUAUCACCCUGUAGCCCAAGACUGGUUGCCCACUGAAGCUAAGCAGGGCUGAGCCUGGUCAGUACCUGGAUGGGAGACCUCCUGGGAAAACUAGGUUGCUG